AGGGAUUUCUUCUGACUCCAAGGCCGCUCUGGAGUCGAAGAAGGUCGGGGCAACGUCCAGGCAUCCGGUCCCUUCUGGCCGCACUGACGAGAGGACGGUUGAGACAACACAGAGCCCGGGUGUGUUGUCUUCUACUGAUGAAGAUGAGGCAACUACUGCGAAGGUAAGUGAGGUGAGUAUGGGUAAUGUUGAUGUUGUUAGGGGUUCAGUUCACCAGGGGCACAGUCGGUUUAGGAAUCCGGGAGUUCAGUGUAUGGCGAUAGGGUUGGUUAGUUUGGCCAGACAUAUGGUGUCUAGUGUGUUCAAUUGGAAGACAGAAGAUUUAGAUUUAGCUCUGUGGUUAGGAGAUCAGCUUUAUACGCAUCUGAAGGACCAUGGUCUAAUUCCUCCAGGAGAAGACUUUUUGAUGAUCCCAGAG